AUUCGUUUAUGUUUAUAUCUGUCUAUGGAGCUGUCUGUGUGAUAAAUUCAUUUGCCGCUUUCGCAAACAUAAUACUUUGCUAUUUGGAGUAAUUGAAGUGCUUAGACUAGAUGCAUAGGUGUACGAGGCAGGGGAGCCGAGGGGGGAGGCUGCACCCUCGCCAGUCAGAAUUUUCUCGUAUAGAUUCUACUUUGAAAAUCUGGCAGGUCUAUUUGCC